GAGCCAGCCGAGCGGGACAGCGCCCGAACGCCUGAGACACAGUCUCCGGUCAGCGCAUGCGCUCUGAGCUCGGCGUCACCUCUCGUUCGUGCUGAAAGUUUGGCGCAGGCGCACAUUUUGCCCGCCGGAACGAAGGAGGGGCGAGAAGAGGCCGAGGUGGGGGAGCUCAGCCCUUUGUUUUUGAGACACCCUUGAAGGCGGAUCUUCCUUUUAGAGAGGACUUUUAAUGUUUUAUCGUCUUUAAUAGUCGGUUUCUUUGUUUUUAGCCUUUUAUCUAUAACUCUUAAUUUGAAAGUUUUAAAAUUCGGAACUUUUAAAUUUAAUUUAUGUACACAUACACACAUUGUUAUAUGGGCCUAUUUUGUUAAUGUUCUGUAAGCCACCCCAAUCAGUAGUUUACUGGCGGGGUGGGACAUAAAUAUAAAUAAAUAAAUAAAAAUUUGUUCUUCUUUGUUUAUUUUG